CACUUAGGUGGCCAGGUGGUUAGAGUGUCCGCCCCAGAUGCGGGAGGUGGUGGGUUCAAUCCCCAGUCGAGUCA